GAUAUUGUCAUAGUUUAACACCAUAAAUUUAGUUGUUAAUAUACAGUAUUUUCCAGAAGUAUAGAUAUGUGCUGAUGUAUUAUUUGCGUAACUGUCAAUCAUUCCUUUCAUAAUAAUAAGAAAAAUACUUGGGUUCACCAUUUCUACAAAGUUCUCAUCGACAUAAAAGUAUCCUCCAUCUUUCCUUCUGUCCAAACUCAAAGUUUCAAUCUGGUCUUAUCAUUCUACAAUUUAAUUGAUUUUUAGCGGUGAAUGGUUUAUUCACUUCAAAGGUGAACCCAAGUAUUAUUCUUUAAGAAGGACUAUAUAUAAAAAGUCUGUUACAUUAUUGGAUCGCACUGAUUUUGACUUUCACUAUAUAAAAGCCAAUCCAAGAUAAUUGUGCCAAAUUAUCCAUGUUUGUUCUAGUCAUUCCUUGUGAUUUGUAGGGGGACACGUUUUCGAAUAUUUGCAUCACAUAUCGGGUUGAUGAUUACGUGCAUGUGAAUUUUAUAACAAUCAUAGAACCACAAAAUAUUUUUUGUACCGAGUACGAUGCCUCGUUGCAUUAUUAAUUUAUAAUAAUCACAUGGCUUGGAAAAUUUUUCUCUCUCUACGCGAGACUCGAAAAGCGACAUCGCAGAUAGCUCCAGCGACGAAUUUCUCUACUGGCGUCGAAGGCCUUCUCUCCUCUGUCGUUGUCACCAUUUGCUUACGUGGCUUUAUGAGAGAAUACUAACAUAACCCUCUUCCAAAUUGGUUUGAUAAUGGAUUAAAGACAUAUUUUCUUGAUAAAUAACAAUUGGGAGAGUAAAUCAAAGGAAUCAUCAACCCACAAACUAAAUGCGAUGAUGGCAAAGUGACCGGAAAAAUCAAAACAAUGAAGGACAAGCGAAAGAGAUCUUCAGAGUCUACAUAUUUUAAGAACAAAACUUACG
rnacentral:lncRNA from 1 species